rnacentral:misc_RNA from 1 species
CUACCUCAAGCCUUUGCUUGGUGAUGGGCAUCGCCGUUUACGGCGGGCCCGAAACGCGUGUGGGCGCCAUGGUUCCCGGCUUCGAGCGUAGCAAGAGUAGUCCUCCCUCGCUCGGGGCCCCCCAGGGUUGCCGUUAAAACAUACCUUCUAUUUUUUACA